ensembl:lncRNA
AUUUGAUUGUCAUGAUUGCUUGUUCAAAUUGUAUAUACAUUUUUCUUCCUAUUUCAAGACCUUAGUAGUCUUAGACCAACCUAUGCAACUGAAAGCUACAUCUGUUAUUAAUGGGAUGCUAUAGAUAUAAACCCAUAGAUGUAGGUUAACUGUUGCCAUCUGUUAUUAACGGGAUGCUAUAGGUAUAAACCCAUAGAUGUAGGUUAACUGUUGCCAUCUGUUAUUAAUGGGAUGCUAUAGGUAUAAACCCAUAGAUGUAGGUUAACUGUUGCCAUCUGUUAUUAACAGGAUGCUAUAGGUAUAAACCCAUAGAUGUAGGCUAACUGUUGCCAUCUGUUAUUAAUGGGAUGCUAUAGGUAUAAACCCAUAGAUGUAGGUUAACUGUUGCCAUCUGUUAUUAAUGGGAUGCUAUAGGUAUAAACCCAUAGAUGUAGGUUAACUGUUGCCAUCUGUUAUUAACGGGAUGCUCUAGGUAUAAACUCAUUAGUGUAGGGAUUGCUUGACGGGAUAUUUUUAUAGAGGUGCAGAAUUGUUGAUAUAGCUUCACCAAGGCCAAUCUGAUUCACAAUUUAGAGACGGAGAGAGAGAGAGAGAGAGAGAGAGAGAGAGAGAGAGAGAGAGAGAGAGUAAUGGUGAGAGAGAUAUGGAGAGAUGGAGAGAGAGAUGGUGAGAGAGAUAUGGAGAGAUGAGAGGGAGAGGGAGAGAUGGAGAGAGAGAUAUAGAGAGAUGGAGAGAGAGAGAGAGAGA